rnacentral:rRNA from 1 species
AACGCGAAGAACCUUACCGGGGCUUGACAUCGGAGGACAACUCUAGAAAUAGAGCUUAGGGGCAACCCUACUUCCAGACAGGUGCUGCAUGGCUGUCGUCAGCUCGUGCCGUGAGGUGUUGGGUUAAGUCCCGCAACGAGCGCAACCCUUGUCCUUAGUUGCCAUCAUUAAGUUGGGAACUCUAAGGAGACCGCCGGUGACAAACCGGAGGAAGGUGGGGAUGACGUCAAGUCAUCAUGGCCUUUAUGGCCAGGGCUACACACGUGCUACAAUGGCAGGUACAGAGGGAAGCCAACGCGCGAGCGGGAGCCAAUCCCAGAAAGCCUGUCGUAGUCCGGAUCAGAGUCUGCAACUCGACUCCGUGAAGUCGGAAUCGCUAGUAAUCGCAGAUCAGCAUUGCUGCGGUGAAUACGUUCCCGGGCCUUGUACACACCGCUAGUC